rnacentral:rRNA from 1 species
GAUGAACGCUGGCGGCGUGCCUAAUACAUGCAAGUCGAGCGAACAGAUGAGGAGCUUGCUCCUCUGACGUUAGCGGCGGACGGGUGAGUAACACGUGGAUAACCUACCUAUAAGACUGGGAUAACUUCGGGAAACCGGAGCUAAUACCGGAUAAUAUAUUGAACCGCAUGGUUCAAUAGUGAAAGACGGUUUUGCUGGCACUUAUAGAUGGAUCCGCGCCGCAUUAGCUAGUUGGUAAGGUAACGGCUUACCAAGGCAACGAUGCGUAGCCGACCUGAGAGGGUGAUCGGCCACACUGGAACUGAGACACGGUCCAGACUCCUACGGGAGGCAGCAGUAGGGAAUCUUCCGCAAUGGGCGAAAGCCUGACGGAGCAACGCCGCGUGAGUGAUGAAGGUCUUCGGAUCGUAAAACUCUGUUAUUAGGGAAGAACAAAUGUGUAAGUAACUAUGCACGUCUUGACGGUACCUAAUCAGAAAGCCACGGCUAACUACGUG